rnacentral:tRNA from 1 species
CGGGUGGUGGCGCAGCCCGGUAGCGCAUUUGCAUGGGGUGCAAGAGGUCGCUGGUUCGAAUCCAGUCCACCCGA